ACCUUUCAGGUUGCAGCCUAAUCUGAUUUAGGCUGACGGCUGGUGACUUUUUAGUCACCAGCCU
rnacentral:sRNA from 1 species